rnacentral:lncRNA from 1 species
GCUAGGCUUCUAGAGGCGAGGAAGCCAAGGAUUAUGUGGGCUCCGUGCUUAGCUCAUUGUUUGAACAACAUUCUCAAGGAUUUCGCAAAACUACCAUGGAUGGUUGGGCUGCUAGACAAGGGAAAGACUCUGGUUGGCUUCCUCCAGAACCAUUCGCAUCUAGUAGCGAUUUUGGCAUCCUUCUCUUCACGACGAGUGUUGAAGUUCAGCGAAACACGAUUCACCUUUAACUUUCUAAUGAUGGAGAGAUUGGUGGAGCUGAGGCCAAAGCUACAACAAAUGUUUGUGAGCGACGCUUACAAUGCAAGGCUAGAGUCAAGGACAGAUUCUGGGAUAGCAUGCUGAGGAAUUGUGUUCAACAAUACAUACUGGAACGAGGUUAACCACAUGCUGGGUGUUUCAAGGAGGGUGAUGUAUUUAUUACGGAUGGUUGACGGAGACGUGCCUAUGAUUGGGAAGGUCUACGAGGGGAUGGAUCAGAUGAGCGAGAACAUCUGUCAACAAGAGGAGAACAAUCUUAGGUAUGAGGAGCUAAACCAACUGAUUUCAAACAGGUGGUGGGCUUAUCAUAGCACCUUUCACUCCAUGGCAUACAUGCUUGAUCC